rnacentral:rRNA from 1 species
ACGCCGCGUGAACGAUGAAGGUCUUCGGAUCGUAAAGUUCUGUUGUCAGGGAAGAACAAGUGCCGUGCGAAUAGAGCGGCACCUUGACGGUACCUGACGAGGAAGCCCCGGCUAACUACGUGCCAGCAGCCGCGGUAAUACGUAGGGGGCAAGCGUUGUCCGGAAUUAUUGGGCGUAAAGCGCGCGCAGGCGGUUUCUUAAGUCUGAUGUGAAAGCCCACGGCUCAACCGUGGAGGGUCAUUGGAAACUGGGGAACUUGAGUACAGAAGAGGAGAGUGGAAUUCCACGUGUAGCGGUGAAAUGCGUAGAUAUGUGGAGGAACACCAGUGGCGAAGGCGACUCUCUGGUCUGUAACUGACGCUGAGGCGCGAAAGCGUGGGGAGCAAACAGGAUUAGAUACCCUGGUAGUCCACGCCGUAAACGAUGAGUGCUAGGUGUUAGGGGGCUUCCACCCCUUAGUGCUGAAGUUAACGCAU